rnacentral:rRNA from 1 species
AUUGAACGCUGGCGGCAGGCCUAACACAUGCAAGUCGAGCGGAUGAAGGGAGCUUGCUCCCGGAUUCAGCGGCGGACGGGCGAGUAAUGCCUAGGAAUCUGCCUGGCAGCGGGGGAUAAGGUCCGGACACGGGCGCUAAUACCGUAUAAGUGCUGAGGGAGAACGUGGGGGAUCAGCGGAUCUCACGCUAUCAGAUGAGCCUAGGUCGGAUUAGCUAGUUGGUGGGGUAAAGGCCUACCAAGGCGACGAUCCGUAACUGGUCUGAGAGGAUGAUCAGUCACACUGGAACUGAGACACGGUCCAGACUCCUACGGGAGGCAGCAGUGGGGAAUAUUGGACAAUGGGCGAAAGCCUGAUCCAGCCAUGCCGCGUGUGUGAAGAAGGUCUUCGGAUUGUAAAGCACUUUUAGUUGGGAAGAAGAGCAGUAAGUUAAUACCUUGCUGUUUUGACGUUACCAACAGAAUAAGCACCGGCUAACUUCGUG